rnacentral:rRNA from 1 species
GGAGUUUGGACCGUGUCUCAGUUCCAAUGUGGGGGACCUUCCUCUCAGAACCCCUACUGAUCGCGGGCUUGGUGGGCCGUUACCCCGCCAACAACCUAAUCAGACGCAUCCCCAUCGCAAAGCGGUGAACCUUUACUGCAAUUCUGAUGUCAUCAUCACAGCACAUAGGGCAUUAAUCUUACUUUCGCAAGGCUAUUCCCUACUUAUGGGCAGGUUGGAUACGCGAUACUCACCCGUGCGCCGGUCGUCAUCAAAGAAAGCAAGCUUUCUUCAUGUUACCCCUCGACUUGCAUGUGUUAAGCCUGUAGCUAGCGUUCAUC